rnacentral:lncRNA from 1 species
UCCCUGUCUUCUCAGCCCCUCAUUAUGUGGGUCCUCAACAAUACCAGUGCUCAGCCUCUGACCUUCCUCUUGACGGGUAUUCCAGGCCUGAGAGCAGCCCAGAUCUGGGUCUCCAUCCCUGUUUGCCUCCUGUAUGCCGGCGCUCUCUCUGGGAACAGUAUGAUCCUGUUUGUGGUCCUCCGUGAACAGAGCCUUCAUGAGCCCAUGUAUUAUUUCCUCUCUAUGCUUUCAGCCACAGACCUGAGCUUAUCCCUGUGCACACUUUCCACUACCCUUGGUGUCUUCUGGUUUGAAGCCCAAGAGAUCAACUUAAAUGCCUGUGUUGCUCAGAUGUUCUUUCUCCAUGGAUUUACUUUCAUGGAGUCUGGGGUUUUGCUGGCCAUGGCCUUUGACCAUUUUGUGGCCAUCUGUGAUGCAAGGAGAUACACCACCAUCCUCACCAAUGCCAGGAUCGCCCAGAUUGGGAUGAGCAUGUUGACAAGAAAAUGUUGCUGUGAUGUUGCCAGUUGUGCUUGUUGUCAAGAGGCUGUCCUUCUGCAGUUCUAUGGUCCUCUCACAUUCUUACUGCUACCAUGUUGAUCUCAUUCAACUCUCAUGCACAGACAACAGAAUCAACAGCAUCCUUGGUCUGUUUGCACUCUUCUCCACGACAGGGUUUGACUGUCCUUGUAUCUUGUUCUCCUAUGUCCUGAUCAUCCGAUCUGUCCUCAGCAUCGCCUCCAUAGAGGGCAGGCAGAAAGCCUUCAACACCUGCAUUUCCCACAUCAGUGCUGUUGCCAUCUUCUCCAUCCCUCUCAUCAGCCUGUCUCUUGUCCAUCGCUAUGGCCAUUCAGCACCUCCCAUUGUCCACACCAUCAUGGCCAAUAUCUUCCUGCUUAUUCCUCCUGUACUCAACCCUAUCAUCUACAGUGUGAAGACUAAGCAGAUUCAAAAGGCUGUUAUCAAGGUCUUAAUUCAGAAG